CUUUCCUGCAGGGUGUUCCAUUUGACUACUCGACUCCAGGGUAUUCUCCAUGGGGUCCUGUUGCAGAACAAUGUUAACUACAUCUGGCUGGAAAAGAUCAUCCCAACAGGACUAAAUCACGACCCUAAGCUCCCGGAGGAUCACCCAAGGAUGGCAAAAUGCCGUACACAUGAGAAUGACUCAUCGAUAAGAGGAUUAUUUUUGGCGAAAUACUAUUUUUAUUUUAAUUUUUUUUUUUGCUUUUUAGUAUAGAAAACACAUAUAUUCUUAUAUAUCCUUUUUUUGGAUAGUGAUGACAUUUUUGUCCAAUGCAA